GUCAGGAUGGCCGAGUGGUCUAAGGUGUGGGUUCUAAUCGUAGUUCUGAAAAAAUAUUGACUUGGGAGAUAUUAAAUGACUUUUGAGUAAGGAUGGUCGAUUGGUUUAAGGUGUGUGGGUUCAAAUCCUACUUCUGACA